GGAGUUAGCCGGUGCUUCUUCUGUGAGUGAUGUCCUUCCUGCCGGCUAUUAACCCGCAGGCCUUCUUCCUCACUGAAAGUGCUUUACAACCCGAAGGCCUUCUUCACACACGCGGCAUGGCUGGAUCAGGGUUGCCCCCAUUGUCCAAUAUUCCCCACUGCUGCCUCCCGUAGGAGUCUGGGCCGUGUCUCAGUCCCAGUGUGGCUGAUCAUCCUCUCAGACCAGCUACGGAUCGUCGCCUUGGUGAGACGUUACCUCACCAACCAGCUAAUCCGACAUAGGCUCAUCCGAUAGCGCGAGGCCCGAAGGUCCCCCGNUUUCCCCCGUAGGGCGUAUGCGGUAUUAGCCUGGGUUUCCCCCAGGUUAUCCCCCACUACCGGGCAGAUUCCUAUGCAUUACUCACCCGUCCGCCGCUCGCCACCAGGGAGCAAGCUCCCCGUGCUGCCGCUCGACUUGCAUGUGUUAGGCCUGCCGCCAGCGUUCAAUCUGAGCCAGAAUCAAACUCUGA
rnacentral:rRNA from 1 species